GGAACUUAGAAGUUCUUGAUGUUCUGUAAAUAUCCAGCAAUGUUUGAACACGAUGUUCAAACAAGCCGCCACUGAGCCAUGGAUGGCGAAUUGGCGGCGGUUGCGUUCACCACCAAACAGUAUAUCAGAACAUCUAGUACUUCUUAGUUU
rnacentral:ncRNA from 1 species